AAAAUGCGGGUGGAGUGAUGGUUCAUUAUCUAACUAUUUCACCGUUAGCUAAAGGUUUAUUUCAUAAAGCAAUAUGUCAAAGUGGUGUCAUGACAGUUCCUUGGGCUUUCACUGAACAAGACGAUGCUAUCAAUAACGGUCUGAUGUUAGCCCAGAAGCUUGGUAAUGCGACUUUUGAUCCGGAAGACGCCUUGAAAUUUCUGAAAGACAUAGACGGAUGAAAAUUGAUAGCAGCGGAGAUUGGCUUAGAUAUUUUGCUUGCAUUUACGCCGACCGUGGAUUCCAAGUCAUCGAAUCCUUUUUUAC